rnacentral:rRNA from 1 species
GACGAACGCUGGCGGCGUGCUUAACACAUGCAAGUCGAACGGAAAGGCCCUGCUUUUGUGGGGUGCUCGAGUGGCGAACGGGUGAGUAACACGUGAGUAACCUGCCCUUGACUUUGGGAUAACUUCAGGAAACUGGGGCUAAUACCGGAUAGGAGCUCCUGCUGCAUGGUGGGGGUUGGAAAGUUUCGGCGGUUGGGGAUGGACUCGCGGCUUAUCAGCUUGUUGGUGGGGUAGUGGCUUACCAAGGCUUUGACGGGUAGCCGGCCUGAGAGGGUGACCGGCCACAUUGGGACUGAGAUACGGCCCAGACGCCUACGGGAGGCAGAAGUGGGGAAUAUUGCACAAUGGGCGGAAGCCAGAUGCAGCAACGCCGCGUGCGGGAUGACGGCCUUCGGGUUGUAAACCGCUUUCGCCUGAGACGAAGCGUGAGUGACGGUAAUGGGUAAAGAAGCACCGGCUAACUACGUG